rnacentral:rRNA from 1 species
GACGUAGGGCGCGAGCGUUGUCCGGAUUUAUUGGGCGUAAAGAGCUCGUAGGCGGUUCGGUAAGUCGGAUGUGAAAUCUCCACGCUCAACGUGGAGGGGCCAUUCGAUACUGCCGUGACUCGAGUCCGGUAGGGGAGUGUGGAAUUCCCGGUGUAGCGGUGAAAUGCGCAGAGAUCGGGAGAACACCCGUAGCGAAGGCGGCACUCUGGGCCGGUACUGGACGCUGAGGAGCGAAAGCGUGGGGAGCGAACAGG